rnacentral:lncRNA from 1 species
AUGGCCCCUGCCUCCAUAGCCCUCCGGCAAAGCCUCCUCUUCCCUCCAGCCGGCAGCCCAGACGCUGCCCUCACCUACCUCUCCUCUGGACACGAGCUAGACCUCCCAUGGGGUCCCUCAGGCGAACUUCCCCUCCUGCUGGAGGCCACGGCCUGCCCUUCCCCAUUGACCCCUGGGGCUAGUGUCAACCUUGAAGCCUGCCUGGUGCCAGCGGGGACUGGAAGUUGCACAGCAGGUGCCCAAGACCUUAGGCUGAAGGUCUGUCCCCAGCCUGUCGUGUUUCUGGAACAGGAAAUGGGUGCCUUCCAUCACUCGGGGCCCAGGAACCAGAGAUCAGCCCCAAAGAAAGCAGGCUGGUCACCGAACCGUGGCCGCACUACAGACAGACACACUUGUAGGCACACGGGUCAGUCGCUGCCGGGCCUGCAGCCUCUGCCCCCGGGGAAUUGCAGUGCUGCUAAGCUGACUACCGGGUUUGGAGCAUGGUCUCAAACCCCAGGUGGGUGUCACCGUCUGCUGUUAACAAAAAACAAGCAAAAAACCAACCAACCAACCAACCAACCAAAGUGCUGGGAAUAUUCUGCACGUAUCGUGUUGGGCGUGUCUAGGGCUUUCCUGGGAAGGGAAUCACGGGCUCGUCAAGAACAUUUCCUCAUUUGUCAGGAUUGCAGAGCUGUCCCUAAGUCGCUCUGCAAAUGUAACCCCUGCCCCACCAGGCCCAGGAUCUGGAGGCCUUGGGUGGGUCCAGGCAGGCCCCAGGUCACUGGGCUGAGGAUCUAUGUGACCAGUUCUCACAAGUGUGUUGUAAAUGCCUGUGAAGUGCAUGUCCACCUCGACCUGCACGCUCACUGCACACCUGUCCACCCAAUGACCAGGGCACCAUGGCCCCCUUACAGCCAGACCGUCUCCACCUGGCCCCCAGCGAUUGUGAUGCCCUUGCCUCUUCCACAUCUCACCAGUGGGAGGACAUCGGAUUUAGCCUUUUGCAUCUGCCCUUCCGGCCCUGUGUGCUGUGAGGCUCAGGGACGGGGCAUCUGCGGUUUGUCCCUGAUCUCCAGGUAG